AGAGUUUGAUCCUGGCUCAGGACGAACGCUGGCGGCGUGCUUAACACAUGCAAGUCGAGCGGUAAGGCCCUUCGGGGUACACGAGCGGCGAACGGGUGAGUAACACGUGGGUGAUCUGCCCUGCACUUCGGGAUAAGCCUGGGAAACUGGGUCUAAUACCGGAUAUGACCUUGGACUGCAUGGUUCUUGGUGGAAAGGUUUACUGGUGCAGGAUGGGCCCGCGGCCUAUCAGCUUGUUGGUGGGGUAAUGGCCUACCAAGGCGACGACGGGUAGCCGGCCUGAGAGGGCGACCGGCCACACUGGGACUGAGACACGGCCCAGACUCCUACGGGAGGCAGCAGUGGGGAAUAUUGCACAAUGGGCGAAAGCCUGAUGCAGCGACGCCGCGUGAGGGAUGACGGCCUUCGGGUUGUAAACCUCUUUCAGCAGGGACGAAGCGAGAGUGACGGUACCUGCAGAAGAAGCACCGGCCAACUACGUGCCAGCAGCCGCGGUAAUACGUAGGGUGCGAGCGUUGUCCGGAAUUACUGGGCGUAAAGAGCUCGUAGGCGGUUUGUCGCGUCGUCCGUAAAAACUUGGGGCUCAACCCCAAGCUUGCGGGCGAUACGGGCAGACUUGAGUACUGCAGGGGAGACUGGAAUUCCUGGUGUAGCGGUGAAAUGCGCAGAUAUCAGGAGGAACACCGGUGGCGAAGGCGGGUCUCUGGGCAGUAACUGACGCUGAGGAGCGAAAGCGUGGGUAGCGAACAGGAUUAGAUACCCUGGUAGUCCACGCCGUAAACGGUGGGCGCUAGGUGUGGGUUUCCUUCCACGGGAUCCGUGCCGUAGCUAACGCAUUAAGCGCCCCGCCUGGGGAGUACGGCCGCAAGGCUAAAACUCAAAGGAAUUGACGGGGGCCCGCACAAGCGGCGGAGCAUGUGGAUUAAUUCGAUGCAACGCGAAGAACCUUACCUGGGUUUGACAUAUACCGGAAAGCCGUAGAGAUACGGCCCCCCUUGUGGUCGGUAUACAGGUGGUGCAUGGCUGUCGUCAGCUCGUGUCGUGAGAAGUUGGGUUAAGUCCCGCAACGAGCGCAACCCUUGUCCUGUGUUGCCAGCGCGUAAUGGUGGGGACUCUAAACAGACUGCCUGUGCAAACAGAGAGGAAGGAGGGGACGACGUCAAGUCAUCAUGGCCCUUACGUCCGGGGCUACACACGUGCUACAAUGGAUGGUACAGAGGGCAGCAAGCUGGCAACAGCAAGCAAAUCUCAAAAAGCCAUUCACAGUUCGGAUAGAGGUCUGCAACUCGACCUCUUGAAGUUGGAUUCGCUAGUAAUCGCGUAUCAGCAAUGACGCGGUGAAUACGUUCCCGGGCCUUGCACACACCGCCCGUCA
rnacentral:rRNA from 1 species